UACGUAGGUGGCGAGCGUUGUUCGGAAUUACUGGGCGUAAAGCGCGCGUAGGCGGCUUUGUAAGUUAGAGGUGAAAGCCCGGGGCUCAACUCCAGAACUGCCUUCGAAACUGGCGAUCUUGAGUUCGGGAGAGGUGAGUGGAACUGCGAGUGUAGAGGUGAAAUUCGUAGAUAUUCGCAAGAACACCAGUGGCGAAGGCGGCUCACUGGCCCGAUACUGACGCUGAGGUGCGAAAGCGUGGGGAGCAAACAGG
rnacentral:rRNA from 1 species